rnacentral:rRNA from 1 species
CGUGUAGGCGGCUAAUUAAGUCAGGCGUGAAAUCUAUGGGCUUAACCCAUAAAUUGCGUUUGAAGCUGGAUAGCUUGAGGAUCGGAGAGGGCAGUGGAAUUCCCAGUGUAGCGGUGAAAUGCGUAGAUAUUGGGAGGAACACCAGUGGCGAAGGCGACUGCCUGGACGACACCUGACGCUGAGGCGCGAAAGCUAGGGGAGCAAACGGGAUUAGAUACCCCGGUAGUCCUAGCCGUAAACGAUGGGUACUAGGUGUGGGAGGUAUCGACCCCUUCCGUGCCGCAGUUAACACAAUAAGUACCCCGCCUGGGGAGUACGGCCGCAAGGUUGAA